AGUGAACGCUGGCGGCAGGCUUAACACAUGCAAGUCGAACGGCAACACCGUUAGAGUUUGUGCCUACGGGCGGAGAGUGGAGGAAUGGAGCGGAAUACACCGGAAUCUACUGUUUAGCUGGGCGAAAGGUUGGCUAAUACAGCAUAAUAUCGAAUGCGAACAGCAGGUGACAGUAGGGCAUCUCGCGACCAGACGGGCUGAUGUGAGACGAUGUCGGAUUAGGUAGUUGGGGGGGUAAAGGCCAACCAAGGCGACGAUCCGUAGCUGGUCUGAGAGGAUGAUCAGCCACACUGGAACUGAGACACGGCCCAGACUCCUACGGGAGGCAGCAGUGGGGAAUAUUGGACAAUGGGCGCAAGCCUGAUCCAGCCAUGCCGCGUGGAUGAAGAAGGCCUUCGGGUUGUAAAGCGCUUUUGUUGGGAAAGAAAAGCAGCAGGUUAAUACCCCGCUGUUCUGACGGUACCCAAAGAAUAAGCACCGGCUAACUUCGUG
rnacentral:rRNA from 1 species